rnacentral:rRNA from 1 species
UCCCGCAACGAGCGCAACCCUUAUCAUUAGUUGCUACCAUUAAGUUGAGCACUCUACUGAGACUGCCCGGGUUAACCGGGAGGAAGGUGGGGAUGACGUCAAAUCAUCAUGCCCCUUAUGUCUAGGGCUACACACGUGCUACAAUGGUGAGUACAAAGAGAUGCAAGACCGCAAGGUGGAGCCAAACUCAAAAACUCAUCCCAGUUCGGAUUGUAGGCUGCAACUCGCUUACAUGAAGCCGGAGUUGCUAGUAAUCGCGAAUCAGCAUGUCGCCGUGAAUACGUUCCCGGGCCUUGUACACACCGCCCGUCACACCAUGAGAGUUGGUAACACCCGAAGUCCGUGAGGCAACCGUAAGGAGCCAGCGGCCGAAGGUGGGAUUGAUGAUUGGGGUGAAGUCGUAACAAGGUA